GUAUGUCCGUAUGUACGUAUGUCCGUAUGUCCGUAUGUCCGUAUCUCCGUAUGUCCGUCUGUCCACCUGACCGUAUGUCCGUAUGUCCGUAUGUCCGUCUGUCCGUAUGUACUCUUCAAAAAGCCAAAUUGUGUCUCAACAAAUAUUCAAAACUUCAUAAAUGCAUUAAUUUCUCGGAAGUGGUUUAACUGAGCUGAAAGCUGGUUAUAUUUGAACGGCUCAGUUCCAACGAAAGCGAAGCCGACAUCUCCAAAUGCCCGAAAAGAAGUUGAGGAUCUUUAUGUCUUCCCUGAACGAUAUGUCAGCCCGAUCGCAUCAGUCCAGCGUGAUCCUGUAAAAUGUAAUGCCAAGUCCCCCUAAGCCGCUUAAGAGUCCCCCGCGUUGGCAUCGCCAAGUGGCCGCUCAGCCCGAAUCGAACCGUAGCCAAAGUUCAUGUAACGUCAACGACUCAAUACGGAGCUACUGAUUUACACACAGGCACAUGUAUGCAUGCUGGUCGAGGAUCCCAUCCAGCUCCAGCUCCAGCUCCAUCUCCACAGAGCUGUGGAGUCCGACUCUGGCAACAUGAUUGCACGUAUAGUGGAACAAAUUCAUGGCAUACGCGGCAAUCGCAGGCAGCACCUUGGCAAUCAGCAACGCAAACAUGGAAAGCCGGGGAUUUCGGCCAGGAUGACUAGUUCAAUGAGCUGCUUUAGUUUGUAGCGAAAUCUUCAAUCAAACAUCGUACGACUAUCUUCAAUCGGGAAGCGCACCUUGAUUAACCGAAAUUACCAUUGAAAUGCCCAAGAAAGCAAAACAAAACAAAUUAAUUCGUAGAAAAAGUUUCGCAGAAUCGCUGCAGCCAAAAGAAGAACACAAAUCGCUUUUACGGAAUUACGGAAACUGUUGUAAGAAGAGGGUUUCGCUGCCCAGCGACGACAGAGGGACGGACCGCAGAUCCGACACCAGAUCAGCCGCCAGAUCGGUUCAGCUGGAUGAGAUGAAAUGGGAUGGGAUGAGAUGAGAUGGGACAUCGACAGCUACAGCUACAGCCACAACCAGAACGACAACAGGUAACAGAAGCCGUAUACGCCAGAUUAACGCCCGAGGCGAGAUGGCUUCGACUUCGACUUUGACUUUGAUCUGCAGCGACUUUUGCACUUGCGCAAAAAAAAAAAGAAGCCAAUCCGGCGGUAAGAAUUCCCAGCAAAUCAGAUUAUACACAGUAGGUUCGGUCGGUGGAGGGCCGAAAUUGUUUUAAUUAUGACAUUGCCCCGGGUGUAGGAAGUGUGAGAGUAGAGACAACAAUAAUAAUAAUAACAAUAACAAUAAUAACAGCGGACAGGCCGUUGUUCCCAGUGGCCUUUGAUGUCUUAUUCCUUUGGUCCAGUGCCGACAAGCUGUAACACCUGAAAAGGAGAUGUGUAUCUGGACCUGGACUGGUCGCAUCGAUAAUCUACGGGCUCGGCACUCAGCCCUGAUCUCUUUCUCCUCCCGACACUCGCAGCGGGAAUUCAAUUUGGUUUACAACAAUAAAACGUCUUAUUUAGGUUCGGUUAUUAAUGAUGAGUUAUGGGUUCAGACCUCCUUCGGAGACGAGCGGACCCAUCAUCAUCAUCAUCAUCAUGUUCCCAACCAACCAAUGUUCUCGGAAGGUAGAACGAAUCGUGCUGUCCUCACUGAUCUCGUAAAUCUCAACAUUUCUUCUACAACCUAUUCGAAGCGAAAGAAUUGAGCUGAUUUUUCCCAAAACUGACAUUUCUUUCAUUAUAAUAGAACCUUGGAUCUAUCAGUGGAUAAAACAUGAUGUUAGCAAGAGACUACGAAAUCAUUACUUAUAGAAAAACAAAUGGCAAUUCUUCUAAGUUACUUAAUUUCAGAACUUUUCCUUUAAGAAGUUCAACUAAAUACAUCGUAAGAACUUGAGAUAUAAUAAACCAUUAUAUUUAUCAUAUCAUUUAUAUAACUAAGAUAUACUAUAACAAUACUAAAACAUUUAUGCAAGGUAACUACUCUUGGCUCCAUUGUUUGUUCUUCCUAAUGAAUUCCAUAAAAAGUGAACGAUUCCCGGGUAAACGCUAAGAGCAGUUUGUCACUUCUGCUGAAACAUCUGUUCGCUGGAACUCCCUCCUCCACGUCCAAGUCCCCGCCCCUCUCCCUUGGGUAGAACCUACUCCCACGCAGUGGAUGGGAGUCCGUGUUUAGUUAACCUUUCCGGAUGACAAACGCAGAUCAUUACACCGAGUGCGACAACAAACAAAUGGGUUCUCAAGACGAAUUCCCCGGUGGGUUGCCAAACAAAGGCGUCUCGAGUCUUCGGCUCCGUUGUCUUCGGCCGUUUUCGAAAUCUUCUGAAUAGAGGAAGCGCAGUACCGGCCACAAUACAUUAGAAAAACUGUCAAAGCUGAAUGGGCAACUUAAGAGGUUUAACGCGCGCUCUUGCGUUUCUUCUUUUCUUUCAGCAUUUCCAGUUUCUACCUACCGCAGCAGUGAAAUUCUAUAUACACAUACCCAUACCCAGAACCCCACAAAACUUCAGCCCGCAUUUCGGAGUCGAUCAAGUUAUUAACUGGAGAUCUCGAUUCCUCCUCAGUGGGCACGGGUACUCCCUACUUGGUUUGAUAAAUGGGCGCACGCCUAGAGCGGGCUAAUCGGAAACUUCCGGCACAUUGGAGCUCAUAAAUAAAGUCCACUGUGCACCCAGAGAAAUUAUUUAAAUGUUUUUGAAUAUUAACCUUUCUAAGCAAGAUGGGUUAUAGGUAAAUGACAGACACCUACAGCUCACAGCUAUAAUUCCCAAAUGAUCGGAGCCAUUUGGAUAUAUCUUAAAUGGAGAGAGAAAGGAAAAGUUCCUAUUUACUUUGAACAAUAAUUUUAUCACAAAUAAAAGAGCGAGAAAAGAGCUAAUAUUGAAUAUUAUCGUUAAAUAGAAUAUAUACUUUUACUUUAAAAAAUCAUUGCAUACUUUGCAACAGCAUUAAAAGGUACUUCAAUCUUCUGUGUGCCUCUUAUUGUUUUCAAUCCGUUUUAAAUUAGAAUGAAUACAUAUUCAACUUAUUAAUUCAAAGAAGAAGCUUCAAUUAUUAAUUAAAACAAGAAGCUUAAAUUAUAACUUAUAUUAUUAUUCUUCCAUUUUAUAAUGGUCCAUAGAAAGUUCCUAUUUUUCUGGGUGCACUGCUGGCCAAAACAAGUGGACGAGGCCACCAAAUGACGGCCCACGCCUGACCCCGACUGCGACGACCCAGGGACAACGUCUCGCUUAUCAUGACCCGAUAUUGGACGACGUGUGCGGGCCGCCCCUGCCCCCGCCCCCCUCAGCUGGAUCAAUUAAAACGCAGGCGAGGGCAGCGGGCGGCGGGCUAACAACUCAAUACAAUGUAAACAAAUGAUAUACGGUCGCAGGGCCACCAUAGAGUCAGGGUCCAUUUCCAUUUCCAUUUCCAUGCCCAUUUCCAGUUUGAGCUCGAUUUUCAUUUUCCGGAUCGGAGCGAUUGAAACGUCUCUACCUUUUCCACAAAAGCGACAGCCGCACAGCUGGACUCGGCCGACUGGCUCAGCAGUCGCAGCAAAUCAAUUCGAAAGAGAUUUUCAUUUGAUCCGAGCUCGAGUUGGAGUCGUAAAAAGCGGGCCCGUGGUCAGGCUAACGUUCGUCUGGUGGCGAUGGUGGCCUGGUGGUCCCGGCCGAUGUGCAGCGAUCGUAUCUGGCCAGAUAUGUCGGCCCAAACAAGUUGAGUUGUCAACGCAGCUCCGCAGGCCACGUGAAGUGUCGUUGAGUUAUGACGGUACCGGGUCUUACCCCGAAUCCGAAUCCUAAUCCGAAUCUGAAUCCGCAGCUAGCUCAAUGUUAGGUCUUUACGACUCUGCCGGCCAUUUGGCUAAUUGAUCGUAUUAAGCUGUGGGAAAAGUAGUUUGGGUACUUGCUGAUCAUACAUUGUUGAUUGCACGUGGGUGAUCCUCGGCCAGGAGCACUGACCAGGUGUCUUUUUCGAUGGAUUUUCGAAAGUGCACUAUCGAGUCUUGACCACAACAUUUCUUCUCGUUGCCAGUGGGGAAGCCAAAGAAAGGAAUGAAUGUUAUAAACAAAUGACUGUCUAAGUUUACACAUUUUUAAGGCUUAUAAUCGUGCUCUGGGAGCCACACAAUCUUCGGCCGCAAGUUCAACAUUCAAUUAGUUGGGUUCACACACACCGUACCUACUCUUAUUACUCCACUCCACUCCACUUCGCGGCAGUGUAAAUAAA